rnacentral:rRNA from 1 species
CUCUGACACAGGUGCUGCAUGGCUGUCGUCAGCUCGUGUCGUGAGAUGUUGGGUUAAGUCCCGCAACGAGCGCAACCCUUGCCUUAGUUGCCAGCAGUUCGGCUGGGCACUCUAAAGGGACUGCCGGGUGUUAAACCGGAGGAAGGUGGGGAUGACGUCAAGUCCUCAUGGCCUUUAUGACCAGGGCUACACACGUACUACAAUGGCCGAUACAAAGGGCAGCGACACUGCGAGGUGAAGCCAAUCCCGUAAAAUCGGUCUCAGUCCGGAUUGGAGUCUGCAACUCGACUCCAUGAAGUUGGAAUCGCUAGUAAUCGUGGAUCAGCAUGCCACGGUGAAUACGUUCCCGGGCCUU